rnacentral:tRNA from 1 species
GGGUGAUUAGCUCAGCUGGGAGAGCACCUCCCUUACAAGGAGGGGGUCGGCGGUUCGAUCCCGUCAUCAAAAA